rnacentral:rRNA from 1 species
GCCUACGGGGGGCAGCAGUGAGGAAUAUUGGUCAAUGGGCGAGAGCCUGAACCAGCCAAGUCGCGUGAGGGAGUACUGCCCUAUGGGUUGUAAACCUCUUUUGUCGGGGAGCAAAAGCCGGACGUGUCCGGCUGUGAGAGUACCCGAAGAAAAAGCAUCGGCUAACUCCGUGCCAGCAGCCGCGGUAAUACGGAGGAUGCGAGCGUUAUCCGGAUUUAUUGGGUUUAAAGGGUGCGCAGGCGGAUUUUUAAGUCAGCGGUCAAAUCGUGGGGCUCAACCCCGUCCAGCCGUUGAAACUGGUGAUC